UACAGAGACUGCAAGCGUUAUUCGGAUUCACUGGGCGUAAAGGGUGCGCAGGCGGCCAAGUGUGUUAGGCGUGAAAGCCCGGGGCUUAACCCCGGAAUUGCACCUAAAACUACAUGGCUAGAGCAUUGGAGAGGGUAGCGGAAUUCACGGUGUAGCAGUGAAAUGCGUAGAUAUCGUGAGGAACACCAGAGGCGAAGGCGGCUACCUGGACAAUUGCUGACGCUCAGGCACGAAAGCCGUGGGGGAGCAAAAAGGG
rnacentral:rRNA from 1 species